AUAUUCAAUACUAUAUAUUCAGUAUACUGUUAUAAUUAUAAGAGGAAGACCUUAGGCAACCUUCCUCGCAUGAAUAAGCAAAUAUUUAGAGAGAUUAACGAACCACGGGAAACGCCUAGUAAGCCUACCACAAACCACGCAAACAGGACAUAGUUUUGUGGUUGAUAAACACUGCUAGAACUUGCUUUGACAAACAUAUUGCGCAGAGGAAAUUAGUCAUAGUUACAGAUUUCUUCCUCUAAAAUUUAUUAUAAAAGCUGAGCACAACCUGAGAGUCGAGAGCGGAGAGUGAAGUGAGAAGAGCCAUUUAGGCUAAAAUACUUCAUAAGCCAACAAAGGCUGAAGUAUAUAAUUAAAAGGCUAGAUAAUUAAGCCUCGUCAAGUAAACUAAAGAACAUUGGAAUAUUGUGG